rnacentral:lncRNA from 1 species
GGGCAUGGCAGCAGCCCGGGAAAUCUGUCAUACUGUCCCCCAUCCCUCGCUAGCAGCAGAAUGACUGAGACGGAGCAAAGCUGCUUUCUCUACCCGCGGGAACUGUGGAUGAUUUCACAAGAAGUCGUGAUGGCAUUUGGAGACAGAUCUUUGCCCCCAAAUUACUAAACAGCCUGCUUGGACAACAGCCCCACCACUGAUUCCCAAAAUGUUUUGAUCAUAGGAUCCACAAAUCAAAGAUAUUUAAAGAUGCAGGAUGUUUGGAAAGAGAAUGGCAUUUUCUGUCCUGUAGCUCCUCUCUACUAGGUAGUUGAUAAACACCAGAAGUGAAAUGAAGUCAGUCUUGUCUCAUGAGAUGGAGGGAAAGAAGGCGGUAACUACAGCUGUCAUCCUGGGAACCAUGUCUGGGAGAAAAAGACUGUGAAUGUCUUCAGCUAAUUGGAUGAAGCCC